AGAUCAAAAGUUAGCGAGGGAACGCCUGCAUAUUAAUAAAAGGUCUUGAAUUUCUACACGAAGAACGAUCUCAAUGUUAAUUUAAAAUUAAGUCAGCUACCAACACGAACAUUUCAGUUGGGCGCGAAAUCACAACACUGUCACGCAAGACGCUUUUGAACGCAAUGAAGUUGAUUGACCCACUCCGCGCACUGUGGUAUCGCAAAAAAAAGAUUUGCGCAAAGAGUUAAAGAUGAUCUAAAAUUAAUAUUUUAAAACGAUUUUUUGACUGAAUUUUUAAUUAGAACGACUGUUGUCCAAGUUUGUUGAAUUACUAUGAAUCCCAGUGGUGGCAGAUAUGGCCUGACCCUCACAAGAACUGCACAGACAAGCAGAGCGUUCUUCGUACAGAGUGGGGUCAAGUACUUCAGUUAGGGAUAGACAAUCCAACUGCAGGAUGUAAAGAAGUAUCUAUUACCAAUGAUAUAAAGACGAGAAACAUCGUAUGUAAAGGCAAGCAGUACUAUCGUGUAGACAGUUACAACCCAAGGACACCAAAAUGCUGGUACAUAGCGGCCAACCAUUGUCGUUCUUUAGGGUUAAAGAUAAAUUACACUUUUAACAUCACAGGUGCUUACUACAACUCUACCCAGAGGAAUCAUAUAUCUUCUUCAGGACAAGCUGUUUUGUUCCUAUUAACAGGGAUGUUACAUUGCUUGAUGCAAAUGCUGUAGAGAACAUUCCUUGUAUAGAGGAGUGGAGGGGGACAUAGCCAUCUACAUGGUGGUAGUCAAUCUUAGAAAGAUCAGCCUCACAAUCUUGUAAGGAACGAAUGUUGUGGCUUGACCCCUUUUUUGGGAGGGGGACCAUGGCAAUGGAAAGGAGAAAGGAGAAAGGAGAAAGCUCUUUCCUUCCACCCAUGAUACAACACCCUGUAAGCUAUGAAACUAUUAGGCUUGACAAAAGGUGAAUGAAUAUUUACAUCUUAAAUGAAACUAUCCUUGAUAGUGUCCUUAGACUACUAUCUGUUUCAUUGUUUAAGUGCAUGUACCCCUCUACUAAGAAAUUAAAUAAUAAAUUCAUAAGUCUACAUUAAAUUUAUAUUUACAUAAAUUUAUAUUUUGCUACAAUAAAAACAUGUCUGUUCCCUGUGGUUACACAUUAAGAGUAUGUAAGUGUUAUAUAUAAUUUAAAAAAUACAUUAUAUUAUACAUCA